rnacentral:rRNA from 1 species
AUUGAACGCUGGCGGCAUGCCUUACACGUACAAGUCGAACGGCAGCACGGGUGCUUGCACCUGGUGGCGAGUGGCGAACGGGUGAGUAAUACAUCGGAACAUGUCCUGUAGUGGGGGAUAGCCCGGCGAAAGCCGGAUUAAUACCGCAUACGAUCCACGGAUGAAAGCGGGGGACCUUCGGGCCUCGCGCUAUAGGGUUGGCCGAUGGCUGAUUAGCUAGUUGGUGGGGUAAAGGCCUACCAAGGCGACGAUCAGUAGCUGGUCUGAGAGGACGACCAGCCACACUGGGACUGAGACACGGCCCAGACUCCUACGGGAGGCAGCAGUGGGGAAUUUUGGACAAUGGGCGAAAGCCUGAUCCAGCAAUGCCGCGUGUGUGAAGAAGGCCUUCGGGUUGUAAAGCACUUUUGUCCGGAAAGAAAUCCUUGACUCUAAUACAGUCGGGGGAUGACGGUACCGGAAGAAUAAGCACCGGCUAACUACGUG